rnacentral:rRNA from 1 species
CACGUAGGGGGCAAGCGUUGUCCGGAUUUACUGGGCGUAAAGGGCGCGUAGGCGGUCUUGUAAGUCCCGUGUGAAAUCCCUCGGCUCAACUGAGGAACUGCACGGGAAACUGCUUGGCUUGAGUUCGGGAGAGGGAAGCGAAAUUCCGGGUGUAGCGGUGAGAUGCGUAGAUAUCCGGAGGAACACCGGUGGCGAAGGCGGCUUCCUGGACCGACACUGACGCUGAGGCGCGAAAGCUAGGGGAGCAAACGGG